rnacentral:rRNA from 1 species
UACGUAGGGCGCAAGCGUUAUCCGGAAUUAUUGGGCGUAAAGAGCUCGUAGGCGGUUUGUCGCGUCUGCCGUGAAAGUCCGGGCUCAACUCCGGAUCUGCGGUGGGUACGGGCAGACUAGAGUGAUGUAGGGGAGACUGGAAUUCCUGGUGUAGCGGUGAAAUGCGCAGAUAUCAGGAGGAACACCGAUGGCGAAGGCAGCUUCCUGGCCCACAACUGACGCUGAGGUGCGAAAGCGUGGGGAGCGAACGGG